rnacentral:rRNA from 1 species
UGUCUGGCGGCAGUAGCGCGGUGGUCCCACCUGACCCCAUGCCGAACUCAGAAGUGAAACGCCGUAGCUCCGAUUGUAGUGUGGGGUCUCCCCAUGCGAGAGUAGGGAACUGCCAGACAU